rnacentral:tRNA from 1 species
GCCGAAGUGGCGGAAUUGGCAGACGCACUGGACUCAAAAUCCAGCGGUGUUAAAACCGUACCGGUUCGACUCCGGUCUUCGGCA